GAUGAACGCUGGCGGCGUGCCUAAUACAUGCAAGUCGAGCGAACAGACGAGGAACUUGCUCCUCUGACGUUAGCGGCGGACGGGUGAGUAACACGUGGAUAACCUACCUAUAAGACUGGGAUAACUUCGGGAAACCGGAGCUAAUACCGGAUAAUAUAUUGAACCGCAUGGUUCAAUAGUGAAAGACGGUUUUGCUGUCACUUAUAGAUGGAUCCGCGCCGCAUUAGCUAGUUGGUAAGGUAACGGCUUACCAAGGCAACGAUGCGUAGCCGACCUGAGAGGGUGAUCGGCCACACUGGAACUGAGACACGGUCCAGACUCCUACGGGAGGCAGCAGUAGGGAAUCUUCCGCAAUGGGCGAAAGCCUGACGGAGCAACGCCGCGUGAGUGAUGAAGGUCUUCGGAUCGUAAAACUCUGUAUUAGGGAAGAAUAAAUGUGUAAGUAACUAUGCACGUCUUGACGGUACCUAAUCAGAAAGCCACGGCUAACUACGUG
rnacentral:rRNA from 1 species